ACCUUCAAAUUCUUUAUCUUCCACAAACACCUCAAACAUAGCACCACAACCUCCAGAUACAUCUACAACGUUGACGCUUGCCUAUAAGAGAAAUCUGCCAGUUAAUAACUGGUGUAUUUGCUGCUGGGCGUUGUUUUGUUGAACUGACGAUAAAAAUCGCGUUAAAAUCGAGGUAAUUCCACGCAAACGGCUCAUUAUAACCAUAAAUUUCAACCAGAAGAAAUGAACGAAAUUGUAAUAUGAAGAGAGUUGGCGGUUUGUUAUGUAUUUGCAUCUGUUUGACAAAAGGCUUAGAGUGAGGAGUUAGAGUCUAAAUGCUAAAUGCAAUAUUUUUCAACGUGUGUCAGUUAAUCCAUUCUGACCCAAUAGAAAAAAAUGAUGACUUGAAGAUUCUCAACAACGACGAGCUUGAAAAUUUGGCAGGGUACAUCUGCCACAAACUUGGUAAAGACAACCCCGAAAUUUGUGCCAAUUCAGAAAAUUGUUCGUCUUAUACUUUGGUGGAUCACCUAUCUGAAGGAGGACUCUCAAAUCCAACAGAUACAGCAAGCAGUAUUUGACGACUUAAAUGGUACUGAUUUGCAUAUGUAUAUGGACAAAUUCCGUCCAGAAGUACUUAGAUUUAGUAAUUUUGUAAAUUGUAGCACCAAAGUAAAAUAAUUGUUUUUCAGAGCUAGAAUGUAUUUUAGGA